rnacentral:misc_RNA from 1 species
CGGAUCUCUUUGUUGAGGUCCGUCGGGUCUUGAGGUUCCCUUGACGGGGAACCUCUAAAGUGGAAAGCCAGCGGCCCGCCUGCCCAUGAAAGACGUAGUAAACACAUGAACCGUCCGCGAAAGGGUUUUGGUGAGGCUCGCCUCGAAUCUAUACAUCAAGGUUUGACCUCAGAUCAGACAAGAAUACCCGCUGAACUUAA